GAACGCUGGCGGCGUGCUUAACACAUGCAAGUCGAACGAGAAUCUACUGAAAGAGUUUUCGGACAAUGGAUGUAGAGGAAAGUGGCGGACGGGUGAGUAACGCGUGAGGAACCUGCCUUGAAGAGGGGGACAACAGUUGGAAACGACUGCUAAUACCGCAUGACGCAUAGAGGUCGCAUGAUCUUUAUGCCAAAGAUUUAUCGCUUCAAGAUGGCCUCGCGUCUGAUUAGCUGGUUGGCGGGGUAACGGCCCACCAAGGCGACGAUCAGUAGCCGGACUGAGAGGUUGAACGGCCACAUUGGGACUGAGAUACGGCCCAGACUCCUACGGGAGGCAGCAGUGGGGAAUAUUGGGCAAUGGGCGCAAGCCUGACCCAGCAACGCCGCGUGAAGGAGGAAGGCUUUCGGGUUGUAAACUUCUUUUAAGAGGGAAGAGUAGAAGACGGUACCUCUAGAAUAAGCCACGGCUAACUACGUGCCAGCAGCCGCGGUAAUACGUAGGUGGCAAGCGUUGUCCGGAUUUACUGGGUGUAAAGGGCGUGCAGCCGGGUCUGCAAGUCAGAUGUGAAAUCCAUGGGCUCAACCCAUGAACUGCAUUUGAAACUGUGGAUCUUGAGUGUCGGAGGGGCAAUCGGAAUUCCUAGUGUAGCGGUGAAAUGCGUAGAUAUUAGGAGGAACACCAGUGGCGAAGGCGGAUUGCUGGACGAUAACUGACGGUGAGGCGCGAAAGUGUGGGGAGCAAACAGGAUUAGAUACCCUGGUAGUCCACACUGUAAACGAUGAAUACUAGGUGUGCGGGGACUGACCCCCUGCGUGCCGCAGUAAACACAAUAAGUAAUCCACCUGGGAAGUACGACCGCAAGGUUGAAACUCAAAGGAAUUGACGGGGGCCCGCACAAGCAGUGGAGUAUGUGGUUUAAUUCGACGCAACGCGAAGAACCUUACCAAGUCUUGACAUCCUGCGACGAUGCUGGAAACAGUAUUUUCCUUCGGGACGCAGAGACAGGUGGUGCAUGGUUGUCGUCAGCUCGUGUCGUGAGAUGUUGGGUUAAGUCCCGCAACGAGCGCAGCCCUUACUGUCAGUUACUACGCAAGAGGACUCUGGCAGGACUGCCGUUGACAAAACGGAGGAAGGUGGGGAUGACGUCAAAUCAUCAUGCCCUUUAUGACUUGGGCUACACACGUACUACAAUGGCGUUAAACAAAGAGAAGCAAGACCGCGAGGUGGAGCAAAACUCAGAAACAACGUCCCAGUUCGGACUGCAGGCUGCAACUCGCCUGCACGAAGUCGGAAUUGCUAGUAAUCGUGGAUCAGCAUGCCACGGUGAAUACGUUCCCGGGCCUUGUACACACCGCCCGUCACACCAUGAGAGCCGGGGGGACCCGAAGUCGGUAGUCUAACCGUAAGGAGGACGCCGCCGAAGGUAAAACUGGUGAUUG
rnacentral:rRNA from 1 species